rnacentral:rRNA from 1 species
UGGGGAAUUUUGGACAAUGGGCGAAAGCCUGAUCCAGCAAUGCCGCGUGUGUGAAGAAGGCCUUCGGGUUGUAAAGCACUUUUGUCCGGAAAGAAAUCCUUGGCUCUAAUACAGUCGGGGGAUGACGGUACCGGAAGAAUAAGCACCGGCUAACUACGUGCCAGCAGCCGCAGGUAAUACGUAGGGUGCAAGCGUUAAUCGGAAUUACUGGGCGUAAAGCGUGCGCAGGCGGUUUGCUAAGACCGAUGUGAAAUCCCCGGGCUCAACCUGGGAACUGCAUUGGUGACUGGCAGGCUAGAGUAUGGCAGAGGGGGGUAGAAUUCCACGUGUAGCAGUGAAAUGCGUAGAGAUGUGGAGGAAUACCGAUGGCGAAGGCAGCCCCCUGGGCCAAUACUGACGCUCAUGCACGAAAGCGUGGGGGAGCAAAACAGGAUUAGAUACCCUGGUAGUCCACGCCCUAAACGAUGUCAACUAGUUGUUGGGGAUUCAUUUCCUUAGUAACGUAGCUAACGCGUGAAGUUGACCGCCUGGGGAGUACGGUCGCAAGAUUAAAACUUAAAUGAAUUGACGGGGUCAUAGCUGUUUCCU